ensembl:snoRNA
ACAUUGAAAAGGGUGACCCAGCCAGACACCAUGCAAAAGCAGUCUUCCCUUUUAAAUGACUGAUAUGCUAAGUUAUUUCAUAGCAUAUCAUUUUGUUAAAGGUGAACACAAAU